rnacentral:tRNA from 1 species
GAUCCUGUAGUGAAAUUCAUGUUGAGUUGCAAACUCAUUGAUGUAUGUUAAGAGCGUACCGGGGUCU